rnacentral:rRNA from 1 species
UACGUAGGUGGCAAGCGUUGUCCGGAUUUACUGGGCGUAAAGAGCGCGCAGGCGGUCGGAUAAGUCGAAUGUGAAAGCCCCCGGCUCAACUGGGGAGGGUCAUUCGAUACUGUUCGACUCGAAGGCAGGAGAGGGAAGUGGAGUUCCCGGUGUAGUGGUGAAAUGCGUAGAUAUCGGGAGGAACACCAGUGGCGAAGGCGAGUCCCUGGACGAUACCUGACACUGAGGCACGAAAGCUAGGGGAGCAAACAGG